rnacentral:rRNA from 1 species
AACGAACGCUGGCGGCAUGCCUAACACAUGCAAGUCGAACGAGACCUUCGGGUCUAGUGGCGCACGGGUGCGUAACGCGUGGGAACCUGCCCUUAGGUUCGGAAUAACUCCCCGAAAGGGGUGCUAAUACCGGAUAAUGUCUUCGGACCAAAGAUUUAUCGCCUUUGGGUGGGCCCGCGUUGGCUUAGCUAGUUGGUAGGGUAAAAGCCUACCAAGGCGACGAUCCAUAGCUGGUCUGAGAGGAUGAUCAGCCACACUGGGACUGAGACACGACCCAGACUCCUACGGGAGGCAGCAGUGGGGAAUAUUGGACAAUGGGCGAAAGCCUGAUCCAGCAAUGCCGCGUGAGUGAUGAAGGCCUUAGGGUUGUAAAGCUCUUUUACCCGGGAUGAUAAUGACAGUACCGGGAGAAUAAGCACCGGCUAACUCCGUG